GCAGAUCACCUAAGGUCAGGAGUUUGAGAUCAGCCUGGUGAAACCCCAUCUCUACAAAAAUACAAAAAUUAGCCAGGCGUGGUGGCGUGCACCUGAAAUUCCAGCUACUAGGGAGGCUGAGGCAGGAGAAUCACUUGAACCCGGGGGGCGGAGGUUGCAGUGAGCUGAGAUCGUGCCACCACAUUCCAGCCUGAGCAACAGAACAAGACUCUGUCUCAAAAAAAAAAAAAAAGAAAGAAAGAAAAAGAAAAGAAAAGAAAGAUAACUGUGUUUUCAGUGAUUUUCCCCAAGACUUUUUGUUUUGUUUUGUUUUUUUGAGACAGUGUCUUGCUCUGUUGCCCAGGCUGGAGUGCAGUGGUACAAUCUCAGCUCACUGCAGUCUCAGCCUUCUGGGCUCAAGUCAUCCUCCCUCUUCCCACCCAAACCUCCCCGGUAGCUGGGACUACAGGCAUGUGUCACCACGCCCAGUUGAUUCUUGUAUUUUUUGUAGAGACGGGGUUUCACCACGUUGCCUAGGCUGGUCUUGAAUGCCUAGGCUCAAGCGAUCCGCCUGCCUUGGCCUCUAAAAGUGCUGGGAUUACAGGCAUGAGCCACAAUACCUGGCCUUCCCCAAGACUUUUAAGUGAAACUUAGAAUCAAAUAAUGCACUUCCAGCAAUCCUGAACAAAUCUGAUUUUUCAAGACAUUGCUGAAACACUUCAAUUUGAGAAAUGUUUAUUCCGACCCAAAGCCAUACCCAGGGCAGCUGUCUUCUUUUUCCCUUUAUUCCAUAAGGUAAGAAAAAAACAUACUCACAGAGCCUUAGAGUUGUAAAGGCACCUGGUCACCUGGAAGGUGACUUGAAAGAACCCCUGCCCCUCCUCUUGCAUAUACCUCUGGAUUGUUGGGGAAUCUGCAUUCAUUUCUUCACCCGCACUGCCUCUGUACAGAACCCCGCUGAGUCAGUGUCUGUUCCAGGCACCUCCACACGUGUUCCCAUGUGCUGAGGGGGCCAUUGGUGGGCAGGCAGACCUCAGAAACAGUUGGUUGCAGUUGCUAUCACUUUCCUUUAGAUAUCUAGGCAGUAUUUCCUAGAGUGAAGUCAGAGUGGCUCAGGCUAAGAUGGGCUGCCUUUGUUUUGGAGCCCGGAACUAUACAUUCAACAAGCUCCUUCCUGUGUGCCAGGCACUCUGCUAGGUCGUCUUCACGCACAUUCCCACAUUUUCUGGUAGAAACACACAACAGCAAUGAAGGAAAAAAAAGGAAGCUCUCAAAGAAGUUAAUGCUUUGUUCCAGGUUAUCUAGCAGAAUCGAGAGCUAACCCACAACUUACAUCUCAAGUUUGGUAGUUAAUCUCAUAAUUUUUUAAAAAUGAAAACAGCCAGGAUUUAUGCAGUUCCAAGAGCCAGCCGGGUAAAAUAUAGACCCAACUCUGUUUUGGUGAAUGGAGGGGAGAUGAGAAGAGAAAAACCUCCCAGAACAAAGGAGGAGGUAUAAUUAUGUUUGCCUCAGAGAAAACUGGGAGAGAAACCAUUCAUCUUCCAUUCAUUCAUCUUCCGUUCCCAGAUCUUGGAAGAAUAGUCACUGUAAUGUGGGGGCUAGAAGCAUUGGCUUAUGAAGUGGACAGGCAAAGGUAGGUUUUCAGCUCCACCACAUCCUAGCUAGGUAAACUUGGACAAGUUGCUUAAACUCUCCACUACUCCAAGAGGUUACAGAUCACUGAAAGUACAGACAUUGGCAAGUAUUUUUUGGAAACACAUUAUGGGUCCUAAGGACUAUAAUAUAGUCUAUAAAUCUGGAAUUUUAUGCUGGAAAAUACAACUUGUUUUCAAAUGGAAAAUGAUUGUGUUUUGUAUAAAACAACAGAGUCACAUUUUAAGACCAGGCUGGAUAACAUAACAAGACCCCUUCUCUACAAAAAAUAAUAAAAAUAAGCCAGUUAUAAAGAGAGCUGAAUAAUAACAAAAGAAAAAAGAAAAAAAUUAGCUAGGUGUGGUGGUGUGUUUGGGAGGCUGAGGCAGGAGGAUCACUAGGGAUCAGGAAAUCAUGACCAGCCUGGGCAACAUAGCAAGACUCCCAUCUCUACCAAAAAAAAAAAAAUUGUUUUUAAUUAGCUGGGCAUGGCAGUGUGCUUGGAAGGCUGUGGUGGGAGGAUCACUUGAGCCCAGGAGUUUGAGGUUAUGGUGAACUAUGAUUGCAGCAUUGCACUCCAGUCCAGGCAACAGAGCAAGACAGUGUCUCUGAAAAUAAAAAUAAAACAGCAGAGUCACAUUUUCAAAUUGUAGAUGCCAACCUCUUCUUUCCCAGGCCUGACUGCCUCACACACUUUGUUUAGUAUAGAGCACUUCCCCAUAAGCCACCAAGCCCCAGUUAUGGCGUAAUUCAAACCCUGCCCCUAGAAUUUCAUGUAGGAGGGUCACAGGUCUGUGUGCUCAGCAAAUGUUUGCUGUCCUCUGCUGGGAAUUUUGUUCCAGGUCACACUAACAGGGCAGAUACUUGGCAGCCUGUGACCAGGUCCAGCCCACUCAUUGGUCAGAUGGAAAUUUUCUUUCCAGUUUGGAGGAGGGAGCAACUGGAGAAAGCUUAUCCAAGGUUCAUCGCUGUGACAUUUUUCCUGCUUUGUGGACCCCAUUUCUGCUUGUGACCAGUGAUCAAAUUUUAUACAUACUUAGACAUAUUUUGAAGACAUGAGUACCCUACUGUUUCACGUAGACCUCUGGGAACUGUCAAACUUCUUUCCUACCAAAUUCCUUUUUUCUUUUUUUUUUAGACAGAGUCUCACUCACUCUGUUACCCAGGCUGGAAUGCAGUGGUGCGAUCUCAGCUCACUGCAAACUCUGCCUCCUCAGGUUCAAAUGAUUCUCCUAACUCAGUCUCCCGAAUAGCUGGGAUUACAGGUGCACGACACCAUGCCCAGCUAAUUUUUGUAUUUUUAGUAGAGACGGGGUUUCACCAUGUUGGCCAGGAUGGUCUCCAACUCCUGACCUCAAGUAAUUCACCCGCCUCAGCCUCCCAAAGUGCUGGGAUUACAGGCGUGAGCCACUGCGCCCAGCCCUUGGCUACCAAAUAUCUAAAGAUAGAAGAAAGGAUGAGAUUAAUGAUAGACUAAGAAGAGUUUGGGAAUGCCUGUUGGUAAUUAGGGUGGACUGUCUUUGGAAAUAAUAAUAGGUAACAAAUAUGUGUUUUCUCUAUGUCAUGUGCUGUGUUAAAUACAGGAUCUUAUUCAAAGCUCAGCCCUCAUUUUGGAGACAAGGAAACUGAGGCUCAAAGAGGUUAAGCAACUUGUCCAAGGUUACCUAGCUAGGUGGUGGAGCUGAAAACCUACUUAUGCCUGUCUAUUUCAUAAGCCAAUGCUUCUAGCCCCCAUGUUACAGUGACUACUCUUCCAAGGUCUGGGAAUGGAAGACGAAUGAAUGGAAGAUGAAUGGUUUCUCUCCCGGUUUUCUCUGAGGCAAACAUAAUUAUACUUCUUCCUCUGUUCCUGGAGGUUUUUUCUUCUCAUAUCACCUUUAUUCAACAAAACAGAAUGGGUCUAUAUUUUAUCCAGCUGGCUCUUGGAACCACAUAAAUCCUGGUUGUUUUCAUGGAAAAAAAAAAAAGAAAGAACAGAAAAAGUACAGCUUGCUAUCUUAUCCCACAUGAAUAUCAGAUGUGCAAAGUCAGCUAUAAAUAAGAGGAUAUUUUGGCCAGGCACAUUGGCUCACGCCUGUAAUCCCAGUGCUUAGGGAGGCCUAGGCGGGCUGAUCACUUAAGGUCAGGAGUUCAAGAUCAGCCUGGCCAACAUAGCGAAACCCCGUCUCUACUAAAAAUACUAAAAAAAAAAAAAAAAUUAGCCGGGCAUGGUGGCAGGUGCCUGUAGUCUCAGCUACUCAGGAGGCUGACCCAGGAGAAUCACUUGAACCCAGGAGGCAGAGGUUGUGGUGAGCUGAGAUUGCGCUACUGCACUCCUGCCUGGGUGAUAGAGUGAGACUUUGUCUCAAAACAAAACAACAAAACAAAAACAGGAUAUUUUUUAAAAUGCUGAGAGUCCCUAAUUCAUUCUCAGGAAAUUCAGUCUCCUACAAGCCAGAUCAUGCACAAAUUCUCAGCAUCACCUAAAGCCUAAGCCACCUCACCAAAGGGGGAGGGAGGGAUCAGUUGUUACCAUUUUGCAGUCAAAGCCCCAGGGUGUGUGUCUGAGAAGACUGAACUUGAGUAAAUUAAGCUCUUCAGAUAAAUACGGUUUGCUGAAAUUAAACAUGAAACAUUCUGCAAAAGUAGGUGUACUAUCCGGAAGCCAAGUAAUUAACAUCAAUGCAGGACCCCGGAACAGAAAAAGGUCAUUAAAGGAAAAACUGGUGAAAUCCAAAUAAAGACUAGAGUUUAGUUCCUAGCAAUGUGUCAGUGUUGGUUUCUCAGUUUUGACAAAUGUGCCACAGUGGUGUAAGCUGUUAACAUUAGGGGAAACCGGAACCGGGUGAGGGCGUGCCUGAGAAUUAUCUGUGCUAGCUUUGAAACAUUUCUGUACAUUUGGCUGAGCUCAUGCCUAUAAUCCCAGCACUUUGGGAGGCCGAGGCGGGUGGAUCACAUGAGGUCAGGAGUUCAAGACCAGCCUGGCCAACAUGGUGAACCCUCAUCUCUACUAGGAGGUUGCAGUGAGCUGGGAUUGUGCCACUGCACUCCAGCCUGGGUGACAGAGCAAGACUGCGUCUCAAAAGAAAAGAAAUUUUUCUGUACAUUUAAAUUAUGCCAAAAUAAAAAGUUUAAAAUUUCAGUACCAAUGAACUGGUUUUCUUUCUUAUAGGAAUACUGAAGGGGGCUUGUAACACUUAAACUUCUUUCUCUGGAGACAGGGUCUCACUCUGUUGCCCAGGUUGGAAUGCAGUGGCAUGAUCACAGCUCACUGCAGCCUCGACUUCCUGGACUCAGGUGUUUCUCCCACCUCAGCCUCCUGAGAAACUGGGACUACCAGUGCACGCCACCAUGGCUGGCUAAUUUUUUGUAUUUUUUGUAGAGAUGGGGUCUCACCAUGUUGCCCAGGCUGGUCUUGAGCUCCUGAGUUCAAGGGAUCCGCCCACCUCAACCUCCCAAAGCGCUGGGAUUACAGGCAUGACCCACCGCAUCCGGCUAAGCUUCUCUCAAACAAGAUAAAGCUUGCUUCUCUUGCUACCUUUGAACCUCAGCAUAAAGAAUAGUUACCAACAAUGGAGAGUUUGUGCUUUCUUUUAAAAAAAAAAAGCAAAACCAGAUGCAGAGCCAGGUCAGUGCCAAGUGAAAAAGAGCCAUGCGAUAUCUUCGCAUUUUUUGAAUGAAUCUUUUCCUUUUGUUGUCAUGCCCUUUUAGUGUCAUUUUUAAUUGACUGGGCAAAUGAACUGCAGCAUUUUGUAGAUGCCAAAGAGGUACUGAAUUUCUUAGAACCCAAGUGCACACAAGUGAACUUCAGGAAGUUUUGCAACUUUUUUUCCAGAAAGUGGUGGGCAGCCACAGGACCGAAGGAAACACCCGUCAACAUAACCAAGAGGAUUUCCUGCCCACACACUCAGCGUCUCAACGUUAUUUGAACGUAGCAUGUGACUCCAAUCCGCAUAUUUGUGAGAUGGCGGCUGAACCUCUCAAUCUUUGGAAGUUUCAUCAGCAUUCCAGGCAAGGAAGAGGGGAAAAAAGGAAAAGAGCAACAGGCAAAAGGUGAAAGCCUUCCCAGUUGAGUCUCCUCCACUUAACAAACUUUCCUGGAAUCGUCUGUGCCCAGAACUUCCACGUAUGUAUACAUUGGCCUGAACCACAUUAUGUAACUAUCCAUAAACUCCAGGGAGUCUGGAAGCUGAGUGUUUUCAAGUGGGCAUCUUGAACAAAAUAGUUUUUUUUAAUAAGGAAGAAAAAGUAUAAUAGGUGCCGUGUAGGUAACUAGAACUGUUGCCUUAGUGCUUUAAAAUGAGUACAUUCAGGGCCAGGAGCGGUGGCUCACGCCUGUAAUUCCAGCACUUUGGGAGGCCGAGGGGGGUGGAUCACCUGAGGUUGGGAGUUCAAGACCAGCCUCACCCACAUGGAGAAACCCCGUCUCUACUAAAAAUACAAAAUUAGCUGGGCAUGGUGGCACAUGCCUGUAAUUCCAGC
rnacentral:lncRNA from 1 species